rnacentral:piRNA from 1 species
UGAAAUUUCGUUUCUGUGAGGGGA